CCUUCGGGGUGACGAUAGGGGAUUGAGCGGGCGGACGGGUGAGUAACACGUGGGUAACCUACCUUCGAGAUCGGGAUAACUCCGGGAAACCGGGGCUAAUACCGAAUAAUCUGUUGGACCGCAUGGUCCGACAGUAAAAGGCGGCUUCUGCCGUCACUCGAAGAUGGACCCGCGGCGCAUUAGCUAGUUGGUAAGGUAACGGCUUACCAAGGCGACGAUGCGUAGCCGACCUGAGAGGGUGAUCGGCCACACUGGGACUGAGACACGGCCCAGACUCCUACGGGAGGCAGCAGUAGGGAAUCUUCCGCAAUGGACGAAAGUCUGACGGAGCAACGCCGCGUGAACGAUGAAGGUCUUCGGAUCGUAAAGUUCUGUUGUUAGGGAAGAACAAGUACCAGAGGAAAUGCUGGUACCUUGACGGUACCUAACCAGAAAGCCCCGGCUAACUACGUGCCAGCAGCCGCGGUAAUACGUAGGGGGCAAGCGUUGUCCGGAAUUAUUGGGCGUAAAGCGCGCGCAGGCGGUUCCUUAAGUCUGAUGUGAAAGCCCACAGCUCAACUGUGGAGGGCCAUUGGAAACUGGGGAACUUGAGUACAGAAGAGGAGAGUGGAAUUCCACGUGUAGCGGUGAAAUGCGUAGAUAUGUGGAGGAACACCAGUGGCGAAGCGACUCUCUGGUCUGUAACUGACGCUGAGGCGCGAAAGCGUGGUAGCAAACAGGAUUAGAUACCCUGGUAGUCCACGCCGUAAACGUUGAGUGCUAGUGUUAGGGGUUUCCGCCCCUUAGUGCUGAAGUUAACGCAUUAAGCACUCCGCCUGGGGAGUACGGCCGCAAGCUGAAACUCAAAGAAUUGACG
rnacentral:rRNA from 1 species